rnacentral:rRNA from 1 species
GACGAACCGUGCGAACGUUGUUCGGAAUCACUGGGCUUAAAGGGCGCGUAGGCGGGCGGCCGCGUCCGGGGUGAAAUCCCACGGCUCAACCGUGGAACGGCCUCGGAUACGGGCGGCCUCGAGGGGGGUAGGGGCGUGCGGAACUCUGGGUGGAGCGGUGAAAUGCGUUGAUAUCCAGAGGAACUCCGGUGGCGAAGGCGGCACGCUGGACCCCUUCUGACGCUGAGGUGCGAAAGCGUGGGGAGCAAACAGG